ACGCUGAUCCAGAUGCCUUAGUGAGACAGAGCUUGUCUCCCAUUCAACUGGAGCCCCCUACUGGAAGAUGCGGAUGCAGACCGAUGGGGCCCGUCAGAAGAUGAACGCAAGGAGCCGAUUCCGCAACCAGGAAGCCUAUUAGAGAAGUGCCAUUUAUGUCUCCCUUUCUUAUUUUUUGUCUGUUUCCUGUAUCCUCCCUACGCUAACAUAACUAAAACUUAUCUUCUCCUCCCCAUCCUCUUCCUCCAUUUUACUCUUUCCUGAUCUAAUUGCUUAAAUUGUCUUCAUUUUCUUAAUCGAUUUGUUCAUCUCAUCUUCGUUUAAUGUUUGUGUUUAUGUCAAUUUCUCGAAUUAUUUGUGUUUAUUGUGUUGAGUUUUUACUAAUUUUGUUCUAGCUGUAUAUUUUCAGGUACCCGGACGACGCUGGAGGACGACGCUGGAGGACGACGUUGGAGGACCAAGGCCGGCCAACAGAAGAAGAGGAAUUUAUUGUCUAGUUAUGUACAGUGCAUCCUAUUAGUGAAAAGGCGGAAGACAGUUAACGCUGAUCCAGAUGCCUUAGUGAGACAGAGCUUGUCUCCCAUUCAACUGGAGCCCCCUACUGGAAGAUGCGGAUGCAGACCGAUGGGGCCCGUCAGAAGAUGAACGCAAGGAGCCGAUUCCGCAACCAGGAAGCCUAUUAGAGAAGUGCCAUUUAUGUCUCCCUUUCUUAUUUUUUGUCUGUUUCCUGUAUCCUCCCUACGCUAACAUAACUAAAACUUAUCUUCUCCUCCCCAUCCUCUUCCUCCAUUUUACUCUUUCCUGAUCUAAUUGCUUAA